GAACUGCAGUUUUUGACACUUAGCUUCAUUUUUAAGCCCCAGAGGUUGCCGCUUGGUCCAGAGCCUCCAUCCAUCUGUAAUCUAGCAAAGAAGUCUUACAAGAAAGGGAAAUACAUAUAAUAAAGCCCUUGAGGACGGGAGUGGAUGAAUAAGAGUGAGCAGAUGUGCUGGUUCACGCAACAGAAACACUGAUGAACUGCUUGGAAAUGGAGUCUGUUCGUCACCAUUUUCGUCAUGCCAGACCGAGUUGGGAAACAGAUGGAGACUUUUUCAAACGUUUGAGUGUUACAGUAAGUAGAGACAGAAACAGGAGAAGGGGCGUGAUUCUGUAUCGUGGAUCGAAACUAAAAGGUCAAAAAAAUGUCUUUCUUUGUCCUCCUUCAUUCUUCAUGUCACACUCCAGGACCUGUUGUUUCCUAAUAAUCCAACACACAAACAGGAUGUGAGGUCAGAGGUCACUGAUAUGAAGAAAUGUAAUGUAGAGAUAGUACAAA